rnacentral:tRNA from 1 species
GCCGAGGUAGCUCAGUUGGCUAGAGCAAGCGGUUCAUACCCGCUAGGUCGAGAGUUCGAAUCUCUCCCUCGGCA